AAACUCAGAAAUGGUACGGACAAGGGGAAUCCAAAUGUUUAAUUAAAACAAAUCACUGUGAUGGUCCCUACAUAUGCUGAUGCAAUGUGAUUUCUGCCCAAUGCUCUGAAUGACAAAGUGAAGAAAUUCAACCAAGUGGGGGUAAAUGGAGGGAGUAACUAUGACUCUCUUAAGGUAUCCAAUUGCCUCGUCAUCUAAUUAGUGAUGCACAUGAAUGGAUUAAUGAUAUUUCCACUAUCCCUAUCUAGUAUCUAGCGAAACCACAACCAAGGGAACAUGCUUGGAAACAUCAACAGGGAAAGAAGACCUUGUUGAGCUUGACUCUAGUUUGAAUUUUUGAAAUGACUUGAGAGGUGUAGAAUAAGUUGGAGUCAUUUUCAGUGGAAGUGAAAUACCACUACUUUUAAUGUUAUUUUACUUAUUCUGUGGGGCGGAGAUGAGGCAUUGCCCCUGUUUUUGGCCUUAAGGCACGUUUUGGUGGGUUGAUAUGAGUGGAAGACAUUGUUAGGUGGGGAGUUUGGAUAGGGUAGCAAAUCUUUAAAAGAUAACACAGAUGUUCUAAGAUGAUCACAAUGAGAACAAAAAUCUCAUGUGGAAUAAAAGGGUAAAAGCUCAUUUGAUUUAGAUUUUUAGUAUGAAUACAAACCAUGAAAGUGUGGCUUAUUAUAAAAAUGAAGUUAUUUUGGCCUUAGAUGGCAGUGCAUGUUUUCUCAAUGCAUAGCUUCACUUGUAAUGCAUCUU
rnacentral:ncRNA from 1 species